rnacentral:sRNA from 1 species
GGACAGAAAUAAGCCAUCAAAUUAGGAGUGUUACAUGUAUUAAAAAGAACAUGUUUAUACAUUUUAGAAUACUACUUGAAUGCAUCUUAAGGAAAAUUGUGUGCAUCUCAUAAUUAUUACCGCAGUUUUUGAUUAGCCUUCACUCUCCAUGAAAUGUUCAAUUUAUCUGAAGUAUCAUGAAAUUUAAUUGAAUUCACAAUUUGGCAUUGGGUAUAUUGGUUGAAAAUAUAUAGCAUUGUAUAACGAGCUAUAUAACAGGGUCUUAAUUUUAAGAAUGUUUUUGUAAUCAUUUAUUUUUAUGUUUCAUCGUUUUUUUUCAAAGAAAACUAAAAAUGAAUAUUAAUUUACUAAGAUUAAUGCAAUUAGAGCAUUAGAAACACUUGAGAUGUCCUAUAUUUUCCAGGUUUUUCUUUUUAGCAUCGAUAGAUACAUGUAUCUCACUACCUAUACCCCAAGCGUUGUGUUAAUGUUCUGUGGGUUUUCUCGCACUUGCCUGAGUUAUAUCUGUACUCUGUGACAUUGUUACAUUUUGUUGCUCUAUUGUAAUGAGGAUUUGAAAAUGAAAAUGUUGAAGAAAUAAAAGAAAUCGAAAC